AGUGAUGCCAGAGCUGGGGCUGGAUUGUAAUAAAGAGAAAAACCGGUGGAGUGAGUUACGCAUCAACAUUAAUUUCUUUUAGAAUUUACACAUCUACACAGACACUGUUGGUAUCAUAAACAUUUAGCUCUAAAGAAGCUACGGAGCAAACAUGUCGAUCUUACCUAUUGAAGUCAAAUAUGUAAGGGGUAUGAGUGAUGAGAUGCAGCAGGACGCUCUACAGUGCGUCAUUAUGGCUCAGAGCAUGUGCACAGAAAACAAUGACACUGCAGCAUAUAUUGCGAAGGAAUUUAACGAAAAGCAUAAACCUACCUGGAGCUGCAUUGUGGGAAACUUCGGUUGCUCCCUUUUACCGACGACUCAUCAUGUCUGCUUCACUGUUGGCGAGAAAUUAUAUUUUCUCUUCAAGGCUGCAUGAAUGUCAGAUUUACACAAACUAAAUCUGAAUGAUAAUAUGAACAAUUGAACAAUUAUAUAUACAGUUGAAAUAAACAUUAUUUGCCCUCCUGUGAAAUUGUUAUUCUUUUUCAAAUAUUUGCCAUGUGUUAUUUUACGGAGCAAGGAGAUUUACACAGUAUGUCUUAUAAUAUUUUUUUUUCUUCUGGAGAAA